rnacentral:rRNA from 1 species
GGCGGGGGAGCGGCGAACGGGUGAGUAACACGUUGGAACCUACCCCAAACUCAGGGAUAACCUACCUAACGGUGGGCUAAUACCGGAUGGUCCCGCAAGGGUAAAGCUUUUGCGGUUUGGGAGGGUCCUGCGGCCUAUCAGCUAGUUGGUGAGAUAAUAGCUCACCAAGGCUAUGACGGGUAGCUGGUCUGAGAGGAUGAUCAGCCACAAUGGGACUGAGACAAGGCCCAUACUCC